rnacentral:rRNA from 1 species
AUUGAACGCUGGCGGCAUGCCUUACACAUGCAAGUCGAACGGUAACAGGUCUUCGGAUGCUGACGAGUGGCGAACGGGUGAGUAAUACAUCGGAACGUGCCCGAGAGUGGGGGAUAACGAGGCGAAAGCUUUGCUAAUACCGCAUACGAUCUCAGGAUGAAAGCAGGGGACCGCAAGGCCUUGCGCUCACGGAGCGGCCGAUGGCAGUUUAGGUAGUUGGUGGGAUAAAAGCUUACCAAGCCGACGAUCUGUAGCUGGUCUGAGAGGACGACCAGCCGCAGUGGGACUGAGACACGGCCCAGACUCCUACGGGAGGCAGCAGUGGGGAAUUUUGGACAAUGGGCGCAAGCCUGAUCCAGCCAUGCCGCGUGCAGGAUGAAGGCCUUCGGGUUGUAAACUGCUUUUGUACGGAACGAAAAGACUCUGGUUAAUACCUGGGGUCCAUGACGGUACCGUAAGAAUAAGCACCGGCUAACUACGUGCCAGCCGCCGCCGUAACAC